UCCAUUUUGUCGAUGAACAGGCAGCCCUGCAAGUGGUCCAUCUCAUGCUGGAUGAUACGGGCUGCCCAUCCACUCGCCUGCCACACCACCUGCUCCCCUCUGGGGUCCAGCCCUGCAAAGUAAUUUACAGCCUGGAAAACAUCCUGUACUACGACAGACCAGGAAUGGCCUAUCACCCUGGACUGGGCAAAGCUGGGUCCCACUAUUUCCACUCGACCAUGACAGAUGCAACUGAGGCAAAAGUCUGUGUGUGGGACAGCGAACUAGAGGGCACAGAGCAGAGGACCUGGUGUGAGGUACCAUCGAAUUAGGUCACCUUCUCAGCCCCAAUACAUUUUCCCAGCGAGCUGGCUCAGCUGCUACACGAGCCUCUUCCCCUAUCCCAAUUGGUUAGUCUUGAAUCAAAUCCACUCCCCGGUCCAGCUCUUAGUUCCUGACGGAAGGCUUCAUUGAGCCUGCCCUUCCACUUUUAACUGGAGUUUUGACAAAACCGUUUCGUGGGGCCCGAGGUCGCCGCCUCCAUGGGCUGGGGGAGGGACGCAACCGUUUAUCCAACCGCCUCACGGCCACUGCCCACCCCCUGCACCUGAGAUCUGCACGGCCUGGAAGCGGGGCACGCAGGCCAGGAAGCCGACGACGCUCUCGCAGCCCUCAGGGAAGGUGACCAGGCGGCUGUCCAGCACCCGCAGGCUGGGGUUCACGAACACGCGCAAGGGGAAGGGCUCCAUCUGGCGGGCCUCGCGCAGGCGCGGCGCGCAGGCGCGGAAGAGUGACUCGGGGAACUCCAGAGCCAACACCUGUAGCGGCACCCCGAGCUGCGGAGCGCUCAGGCCUACGCAGCGCCGGCGUCGCAUCACUUGCACCAGCCGCUGCACCAGCCGCUGCAGCUCGGGCCCCGCCAGCUGCGCGGGCUCCACCGGGGCCGCCACGGCCCGCAGCGCCGGGUCCCCGACCUGACACACGCGCGGGUACGGCGGCUCGGGCGCUCCCCGCACCAGGCGCCGCACGUAGCGCCAGUAAGACCGCUGGCGCGCCGGGCCCUCGAGGCCGUCCGGGGCGGACGCGGAGCUACAGGCCCGGACGCUGCGGCCCCCCGUCCCCUCUCCCCACGGCGGUGUCGGCCCCAAGCAGUGACGCGACCGCCCCAGCAGCGGCCCCAGCAGCAGUCCGGCCCCCAUCCGGCCCCCGGUGCGCCGAGCACAGCUGCCCAGCCACCACGGUCCUCCCCGGCCCCCGUAGGAGAGCGCUCCGGUCGCGGGGGACGCCGGGAAGCGCAGUUUCCGCGCGCCUUGAGAGCGCAGCCGGCCUCCGUGACGUCAGUCAGCUUUAUUGUUUAAUUCCGUUUUUUACAGUAUCACCAACCAUUUGCAAAAGUGACCGGGAGGUCCCCCCUUUCACGGGCUGUGAUGAAUGCCCUCGCAGCCUGUCCUCCGGGGCUGUCCCCAGCUUUCACCUGCCUCCCCCCACCCCCGCGCCGGCGCGAGUUAGGUGUCCGCACCCGGCACCUCGGCCUGCAGCGGCUCGGCCGUGUCAGCCUGCUCCUGCGCACCCUCGGGGAAAGCCGCAGCGACCGGCUCGACGCCUGACUCCUCGGGGGGGACUUCCGGUGCUGGAGCUGGGAGCUCGGGCACCAGCUCCUUUUCGUCUAGACACAGGACCAGCUCUCUCUUCGGCAGGAUGAAGGCGAGAGGCUCCUGGACGACGUCGAUGUUCACAUGCCCAAGGUUGCCGUACUUGGAGAGCUGAGUGGGAGGGAUGCCUGAGCCAAAAGGUCUGUGCUAUCUGAGCUGGUGGAAAAAGGACUUGGAGACAGCGAUUUAAAUAUGGAACAAGGUCUUCCACGAAGACGGUGCAGAACUGGAUGAAGAGCUCUUGCUCCCCACUGCUGAAAGCAGCCUCUUCUGCACGA